rnacentral:rRNA from 1 species
AACGAACGCUGGCGGCAGGCUUAACACAUGCAAGUCGAACGCCCCGCAAGGGGAGUGGCGGACGGGUGAGUAACGCGUGGGAACAUACCCUUUUCUACGGAAUAGCUCUGGGAAACUGGAAUUAAUACCGUAUACGCCCUACGGGGGAAAGAUUUAUCGGGGAAGGAUUGGCCCGCGUUGGAUUAGCUAGUUGGUGGGGUAAAGGCCUACCAAGGCGACGAUCCAUAGCUGGUCUGAGAGGAUGAUCAGCCACAUUGGGACUGAGACACGGCCCAAACUCCUACGGGAGGCAGCAGUGGGGAAUAUUGGACAAUGGGCGCAAGCCUGAUCCAGCCAUGCCGCGUGAGUGAUGAAGGCCUUAGGGUUGUAAAGCUCUUUCACCGAUGAAGAUAAUGACGGUAGUCGGAGAAGAAGCCCCGGCUAACUUCGUGCCAGCCGCCGCAGUAAUAC